rnacentral:lncRNA from 10 species
AUUAAAGUCAAGACACAAACCGGCUUUGCUGGGGGACCAGAGGGAGGGCCAAAAACGCAAGACUCAGAAGACCGGCACCCACACAGACAGGGGGAACCGGUUUGGGCAGGGGCUCCCAGAGCGGCCCAGCCUGCGCAUGCGCCCUCUCCCCUCCGUCGCAGUUCCCCCUCCCCCCAAUCACGGCUCCCCUCAGAACUCGGCCCGUCGAGGGAGCUGAGAGCAGCUCCACUGGCCCGACCCCGCGGGAUGAGAAGACAGCUUGGCUCCCCGCAGGGGCCGUCGGAAAAUACCCCUGGGGUUGGUCUGCGACCAUGACGAGCGACCCUAUUGGCCCAAUACCGGGAAGCGAGGCGGAGCUUCCUCUUCUCCGAGCCCCACCUGGGCUUUCAGCCCGCCUCAGGACUGUGCGCCUGCGCGAAGUGCACUGGCUGUGAGCUGGACCUGGGCUGUCUUGUGUAUUUGGAGUUGGACAGCCAACUACGUGACUGCAGCCGGGACUGGGGACGAUGGAAGCGGACUGGGUAGUACCUGUUGAGCCUAACAAAGGGUACAACCCCAGAGUACUGGUGCUUGAGCAAGGAAUCCCCCUGCUCACCUUUCAUGUGCAAGUCCUGUUUGAAAAUCAGUACUUCACAGUGUAAUAAAAUUCACCUGGCAUUUACUGAGGGCGCACGGUGUGUCAG